AAAUUCAUAAAACAAUUUUAAGUGUCAUUAAAGUAAAACCAUAAUGUAUUACAACAAUAAUAAUAAUAAUACCAAAGCUGUGAUUAUAUACAAAAUAUGCCUCAAAUAUAUCGACAGCUGUGGUGUCAAAGUGCUCCCUCUGGUGUUUGUGGCAUUCAGACUCAUCAGAGUGGUGAUGACUAAUAUUAGCAAUAUUAUCAAAAACCUUAAACAUUCAAAAGGUUUGUGAAGAAUUGUACAGGAAAGAGAGACUCACCUUUUUGAUGGUUUUGGUCUGAACCAUGGCAAGCUCUUUGUUUUCAGUUGCCACAUACAAGGACAGUUUAACAUAGGGGUCACUAUGAAGAAAGGAAGACAGACAGACAGAAGUGUUAAUAUGUUACAACAAAAAGCUCCAUUCUGGGUUUUUCCAUAUUAAUUUGUUAUACCUUCUGCUUACAUGUAAAGCAGUACCCCCUGCAGAGCGUCUUUACAAUUUAAACAGGGACAAUGAGAGGGUGGAGUGAGCAGUUUGUCAGACACGCUCACAAAUCUUUGCGAUUGCGAUAACCUGUAACGAGACACAGCAUCCAGCAUCCCAGAUUACACUGAAGCCCUAAUUUACUACAGAUUUGCGAGCCGAUGACGAAGAUGACGAUGAUUACUACCUGCAAACCAGCCUCCCACCUGAUAUGCUAAUAGUGUGCAACGUGGGCUUUGCUCAGUGAUUUUCCUUGGAAGCAAAUUUAGGAGCGGAUUUGCAUCUAGGACCAAAUUAAUAUGAAACUAGAACAGCCCUCAGAGAGCACAAACCUCCACCAAGGCCAAAUGCCCAUUGAGCCCAAUCCACUCCCACAUUUAACAGGUUCUUCCAUGGCCCAUGCUCCACCCCUCCUCAAGGUUUCAUGAAAAUCGACCUGGUAGUUUUUAAGUAAUCCUGCUGACAAAAACAUAACCUCCUUGGAGGAGCUAUAUAUGGGCGUUUGUUUUAAGGCACAUUAAUCACAUGAUAUCCGAGUUUUACAAAUCCGUUUUAAACCACAUUCAUACGUGGUUUGAAAUACUAUGAUGUUAAGUUCUCAUGUACAUCACGCAUACAGGAAACAUGCUAGAUUGGUGGCAGAGGGAGCAAUUGAUAAGCGGUGCAGGCAAACCGGCAUUGCCAUGUGGUAAAUUGACAAGCUACUUUUAUUUCCCUCUAUGUUGAGUUGUUUCAUGUCAAAUUCAAUAUUACUUCCGGGCGCAAUGUCAUUACUAAAGCAACCUGAGACCGGAUAUGAGGAUUAAUGAGUAAGUAAACGCAGACCUAACUUCACCGGUGCAGAGGUGGAGGUACUGUUGCAGAAUGUAGAUGUGUCCGUUCUAUUCCACUAUGGCUAUUUCCACGCGAUUAAGUUUAGGGCUUAUUUAUUUAUUCACUUACAUUUGCAGUGUUCGUGUAGUGCUUUUAUUUAUUUUAGGACAUCACGAUGCCUUGUAGAAUCAUGACUAUAAAUAUGAAAUGUAAUUGUUAAUGAUACAAAUAUUCUCGUAUUUAUGGAGAGACAUGAAAUUGGCUAUCCACCGAUGAUCCCUAUUCCACCAGACAGAGCCUGAGAGGAUCUGCAGAGAAGAAUGGCAGAGAAUCCCCACAUCCUUGUGUGGAAAGCUUGUUGUGUCACCAAAGAAGACUCAAGGUUGUAAAUGCUGCCAAAGGUGCCUCGACUAAGUACUGAGUAAGUUAUGUCAAUGUGAGGUCGUACUUAUAUCGACGUGAUUUCAGGAAUGUGUUUUAUCGUUUUACCAAGUAACUGUAUAAUAAGCUGGAUAAUGUAUACUCCGCUGGUCAGUAUUGGAAAAUAAAUCCCUUCAAUCCCACAUUCAUGUGUAUGCAUGCACCAGUGGGAGUGUCACCUUACCUCACAACCUAGACCCUUUCUCUUAAUAAAUAAUAAGAGAGGGUGAACAUCAUUUUUUGUUUGUUGUAUUAUUAUCUAUGACUGUAUGAUACCAAUGAUUCACUCUUUUGGAUAUGGUAUUAAUAAUUGAAUAUGUUGGUUAACCUAGCUAGCAAACAAUAUCUUAUUAAGAUACACGUUUAGCAGCCCAAGCCAUAUCCUGAAACCUGUCCUCGAUCACUCUGUUGUCUGUACCACCUGCCUAAACUCUUCACAGGUUUUUCAAAAAUGUAAGGACUUCCCUCACCAUCAAUAUAAAACGACUCUUCCUACAUUUGCUAGGUUUCACUUUCACCUUGCCCAUUUAAGCGAUUCAAUUUGGUUAACAGCCAACAGGUACAGGGAGCAGUUGAGGUCACUGUGGUCAGGUCAUCAGUAUAAGCUCAGAUGGGAGGUAACCUACAGCCUUCCACCACAAACAACCCAUUUAGAUGUCCUUAGAAUUACCAAUAAUUGCCAUGAUGAAGGCCAACGAUAAAAUGGUACAUCCAGCAAUGAUGCCAAUCUCCAAAUGCUGCCCGAAUAAAUGAAUGGAUUUGUUAAGGUAUCCACCCUUAACCUGAGGCCCUGCUCCUGAUAAAGAGGAAGCAACCCUGGUGACUGCAGUCACUCCAGAUCUCUACUAUUUUAUGUUUUCUCUCUCUCUCACACACACACACACACACACACACACACACACACACACACACACACACACACACACACACACACACACAGGUUACAGUCAUAUACAGUUAAAAUGGUAUUUAGGGGGAGAUUAUUUUUUCCAUUCCCAGGAAUUACCAAUUGAAAGCGUAAUUAUAAUCUGUUGAAAUGGAGCAUAAUCAGUUUCAUCCUUAUGUCUACCAAACUGUUAGCUCUUGCUCUAGAGCAAAAGAUAGCCCAUUAAAUGCCACUUCCUGUCAGAGAAAGUGCCUCAUUUAGCUUCAGGUGCCACAUAGACAGCCAUGCCAGGCGCCUGCCAGUAUGUUGCCACAGCAACUGGCCAUUUGUCGAGAAGCUGAACAGAGACAAUGAUGAGAGGAGUGAAGGGACAAAGUGGACAAUGAGGUACUUAUGAGACGGCGGGUGGGAGAACAUAAUCUCUGAUCCUAUCUGGCCCUCUAAGAGUAAUCACUAGUAAGAGCUGCAUACUUCCUGCAGUAUACACCUAAUCAUUGCAUCUUUUGAGAAAACCAUUGACAUAGUUAGUAGUGAUCAGUGAGGUUUUUUUUUAUAUAUAUAUAUAUAUUUUACAUAAAUAGUACUCACUUCCUUUUUGUCAUUGUAAAUGUACACACAUACACACACAUUUUCAAGCACCACCUUCAAACAUUUUUCCCCAGGAUAGGAGGAAUCAAUGGUGACCCUAGUAGUUUAACAGUUAACCUGGAACAACCAGCACUAUUUAGAGUCGACACUUUAGCCAGUUCUACUGUUUCACCUUCUUUUUGUGUCGCAUACAUACAAUGACUGGUCGCUGUGUCGCACACUUUCGCACAUUUAUCUGUAAAAGAGUAGAUUUAGCUGAUAAAGGCAAAAAAGCAGAGAAUUUAUAUUUGGAGCUGAAUUCUACAGGGUAUAGGUAAACAUUAUUAACUUACAUAUCGUUUACAUGAUUAUUGUUUAUAUCAUUUAAUGUAUAGGAGUCAUGACUACUAUUGCCACUGCAUAUUAACCACAUCAUGUGAACAAAGGGGCUCAUUGUGUACAUUUUCACCCAAUGUGCAACUACCACAAGAGCAGCCAUGUGCUGGGGUGUGUGUGUGUGUGUGUGUGUGUAUAUAUAUAUAUAUAUAUAUAUAUAUAUGUAUGUGUGUGUGUGUGUGUGUGUGUGUGUGUGUGUGUGUGUGUGUGUGUGUGUGUGUGUGUGUGUGUGUGUGUGUGUAUAUAUGUAUGUGUGUGUGUGUGUGUGAGUGUGUGUAAGUGAGUUGAGUUCUGGGCAUUGCUGUGCCUUACUGCCUUAGCUCGUGGGCGUUGGAUCGUCUAUUUUUGGGUAGCGUAGUGCAUUAUCGUGCAUGCAAUUUGUCAACACAAACUUUUUGGAGAAGAACAUUAAUGAAGAACUAAAAUGCUGGUUGGCAAGAUAAAGGUGAGUUGCAGGUGUGGUUCUUGGAGAGGUUUCCAGAGAUUUUGAGAGGAAAGCACAUCCCAAGAAGCAGGAAGCAGGAUCAUUACAGAAAAGCAAGAAAAUCCACUGGCUUUCUCAAACAUCAAUACAAAACAAGUAAUUGCAUAAAUGUAAUGAAAUGUGUGACUGUGUAAUCUUAUCAUCCUGUCUGGUAAUUGUCCCCAAGUCCAAGCACAACUUUCAAAGCCAGAAAGAACAUCCAAUACUCCUUUCAGAAAUCAAUUUCAACCUUGUUCCUCUGUUGGUCUCCAAACAGUGUAGGUGGCAAUAAUGAUUGCAAUGAUUAUGAAAACAAAGCGAAUAGCCUAUUCAUUUGUUUUAAUCAAGUAGCCUGUGUAUGUAUGUAUGUAUGUAUGUAUGUAUGUAUGUAUGUAUGUAUGUAUGUAUAUAUAUUAGUGCUGUCAAAUGAAUAAAAUAUUUAAUCGCGAUUAAUCGCAUUUAUGUCAUAGUUAACUCAAAAUGAAUCGCGAUUAAUCGCAAAUUUGUAUCUAUUCUAAAUGUCCCUUCAUUUAUUUAUUUUUUCCAUCAUUUUAUUUUUAUUUUAAUGCCCUUAUCAACAUGGAAAAGUGGAUUGGCUUGCUUAAUGCAAAUGUUUUAUUUUAUUGAAAACCACCAUUGCCAAACAGGGCGGUACAAAAUAAAAUUAUAAAGUGCACAUUUCAGGUAAACAAGGACUCAGCCUAUAGUGCAGUUAAACCAUGGCUUAAUAUUUUCUUUUUUUUCAAGUUUGCUGGGAACAUAGCAGUCAGGCCUCUUAUUUCAGAAACAAUGAACCGUAACAGUCAGUUUACCAAUAAAAGGUAAGCCUACUACUUCUUUGCUUUCAGCCAGCUGCCUGUUGACAUUUUCAUAUAUUCUUGCUACGCAUCAGUUAAAAAAAAGCCUACAGUUAAGUUAUCUAUUUAAAACAGCCCUACGCUGUAAUUCCAGCACAGUGCCAGGGAACUUUAAUCCAUGUUUUAUUGGUGGUUAUUACUAUGAUAACUUCCUCUUCUUCAGCCCAGGGUUGCUGCCAGACACCUUAUCUCCCAGGCUGUGCAGUAAUACAUUUGUCUGAAUGAAUGUAUGUGUAACAGGAAAGCUAUAAAAUAUACUGAACAUAAACAAUCCACAGGGAAAUAUAAAUCAAUAACGGAAAAGUACAGUAUUUUUCACCAUGUGUAUGUGAUUUUGGUUUGGAGGCUUUGGUUCAUUGGUGUUCAUUUGGUUCAAGUGAAUGCAUUUAUGAUUUAAAAGGAGGGCCUUUGUGUGAGUUGUAUGCAUCCUGUUGAAGACCAUGAGAUCAAAGAAGCUCAUUCUCAAACAAUCUUCUCAGGAGUACAAGGGAAUGUCCCAUGCUGAUGUAUGAAAGUAAUGUACUUCACACAGCUGAAGGUGACAGCAUGGCUACAUAGUAAAAACAGUGGCUGUGUUGGCGAGUGCAACAACAGAGAGGGACACGAAGGCACACCAUGGAGCAAAUACACAGUUACUUAUCUCUGCGCUAAACUGGAUUUAUUUACAGCCUCAGCCCUUGUGCAAAGGGCCUGACUGGGGUCACACAGACCUCAUGCAACAGCUCUGGCCUUACAACGAGCCUUCCCUCCCGUGCUCUCCUGCUGCUAACCCAGUAAGUCAAUGGUAAAUCUUGAUCCCUCUUUAGUUUUUACAGAAAUUAUUUUCAGAGAUUACUGAAGGGGUAAAAUUUGCCAUUGUUGUCCGAAUCACAAAUGAUAGUGGACCCGAUUGGGACAAGGUCCCUGUACAGAAAAAAACAGAGUAUCUGUGUUUGGGGUUAAAGUCUAACAGGUGAGCGUGGCUUCACAUGUGGUGUUAUAUAAAAGCUCUUGACGCUGUUCCAAAGAAUUGCUGAGCGUUUUACUCGGCUUAAACCCAACCUGCUUUACCCCCCUUCGUGUAGUCGUGGCACAGCUCCACCCCUUUCAUACUCACCUUGCUCCAAUGAUGUCCUUCUUGGCCAGAUCAAUGCCAGCGAUGACCUUGACACGGAGAACACGAGAUUCAUUCUGCAGUAGAAAAAGAGAAUGUUAAGAAACCAGAAACCUGAGCAUGUCAACAACAACCAAUGAACAAAGCCUGACAUGUCUAGCAAUGUUACUGACUAACUCUGUGGGUCUAAUUCUACUCAUAACUGGGGUAACCGAAAGACCAUCACUCACAAGACGAUGAUUUAAAAAAAAAAAAAAAAACUAUGCAUACCUUAAUUCAAAGAGAGCUUUGUAUUAUGAGCCCAGGGUUUUAAAGGAAAUAGUAUUCUGUGCACAAACCGCACCACAAGGCUUUAACUGACCAAGUCUGACAGUAACCGGACUCCAACAACAUGCAAGUUUAACCGAAACCAGGCACAAAUUAAUGACUUUAAUCAAAUAAAAAGACUUUGAAACAAAACAUUACUGUGUUUCACACUUUCCUACUGUGUAAUGCAGUCUAUAGGCCACACACACACACACACACACACACAACUGUGUUACAUUUGAACUCCUCUCCCAUAAUACUGCAAAGUACUACAUACUGCAGUUGCUAUCAAACAAGAUAUAAGCUCAUUACAGCCUUUGCUAGGAACAGUGUCAGUGUAAGAUGUGUUACCAAGAUGGACAACAACAUAGAGAAAAGUUAUACUCUUAAUUUAAAUGAUAAAUAUAAUUUUUUUUCCCAAUGUCACUGAAGAGACAGAAUUAACUUGAACACAAUUUAAAAUUCCAAUAGUUUCAAGGUGCAGGCUUUUGACAUUGCCUAUUGAAUUCAGACAUUUAUUAGGUCAAGGACCCUUUCAAGCAUUACCUGCAGGUACAGAUGGGAGCCCUAGGGGGGUCAGGGGCCUAUCUGCUUGGUUCCCAAGGAACAUGGAAGAAACCAGGCUAUGCAAGCUUCCCCACAUGAAGAUAACAGUCACUCAGUACAACUACAGCUGAAAAACGAUAGCCAACCCUCACCUCAUAGUGCAUCAUAAACAUAUCCUUAUCUACACCCCAACCCUCAGGCCUCUUCUUGUUUAGCUUAACCCAUAUAGGUACAAAGACUAGACCUAUAUUUAGUAUCAUAAGGAAAAAGGGCCUCUGACUUUACUGUGAUCGGUUUGAAAUGAUGACAAUUUGCAGUCAUACUUUGUGUAGGCCUAAGCCUUCAACAUCAGCUAGAUUAAUUUUUUACAUGCAUGUAGUUUUUAUUCUUUUAUUGAUAAUGGAAGUUGGAUUUUGGAAAAAUGCUACUUUUUUUAUUCAUUGUAUAUUUCUGGGGGAGUUCAUUGAUACCCAUUAGGCUAUUUGAUUGUGUGCCAUGUCGUUUUUGACAUGUGGCUGGUUUCUUAUCAUACUAUAUUUAGUCUGGUUACUGGACAGAAUAUUUCAACAUCUGAUUUCUUUGGGAAAGGUUGUGUGAAAACUUGCAACAGUAAAAGUUCAAUAGCUCAUAUUAUAGGUUGACACCACAACAGGAAGGUCAGACACAACAAAACACACAAUACAAUUAAGUGUAAAUAAGUUGAUUGCUUUGAUCUGUCUCCUCCCCUUUUGAGAGAAAGGGAGGAGCAAGAACACUUCUAUGGAUUUAUAGUAAAACGCAAAUGCAAGAUAAUCUCAGUCAUGGACUUGUAUGGGUUAAACAGUCUCUUUUGCCUUUUCCCAAAAGCAUCUCCACAUAUCUACUUCUGUGAAAUGUGGGUAAGUUAAAUGUGCAACAAAUAUAAUCAAAUAUUACAACUGUAAACUACUAUAUUUGCAGGUAUCAUAACUUGAAUAUCUACUUGGGUAUGAUUAAGUGUCAGAUUGUCAGUAACGGUGCAAACCCAUGACAGCGACGCGAUACGCUUCCAUCGCUUUGAGUGGGCGUGUUGUAGCGUGUGGAAAUAUCAUUUUCAAACCGUCAGAGACAACACCAAACAAUCUGAUUGGCCGCUGCCGGGAAAAAUCGCCCCUCAUUUGCAUAAGAUUCAACUUUUUCCAACUUUUAUCGGUCGCGUCGCCCAAAACGGUGGUCUACGUCACAAUGGAUUGGCUCCCGUUGAAAUGCAUGGGAUUUAGAAUAUCGCGUCGCUCGUAACGGUGUCAUGGGUUUGCACCGUAAGUGACAGACAGUUCUGCAACUCAACACAGACUAGAAAUGAUGUUUUGUUUUCCUGUUUGUAACUCAGUAAAUACACACUGUGAAGAAAAGCCCAAGCCUAAGACUGAACUCACACUGAUUCUAUGUUUGAUAUUUCAAAGAGUUGGAUCUCAUGGGUGUGUGUGUUCCAAGAACACCGUGUUUGUCUGGGAAUCAGCCAUGCAUAUCUUUUUUUUAUGAUAUGCAAACAGUAGGGCCUGCAUGAGCUGAGAGGCUUAACACAGUUAUGACAGCACUUUGUAGCGAGUUAGAAGGCCUAUGCUAUUCAAUUUUAGUUGUUAGGAUUUUUCCACUCCUUAAGGCCCCGUCACACCAUGACGUUCUGGUCAACGUUCUAUGAUGUUAGAGGAAACGUUGGUAAUCAUCCAUGGUCGCUGGUAUUGCGCCAGAAGAGCUUUGUGUGAAAGCUGGUGAACGCUGUAAUCGUCGGUAAUCGUCGGUGAUCGGAGGAGAACGCUGGUCCAAAAAAAAAAGUUUUGAACAUGCACAAAAGUUCUCAUGGAGAUCAGCGUUCUUCAAUGUUUAAUUUAAACGCUGGAGAACUUUCGUGGAACGUUUUAUUAACUUUGCACGCGUUUGGCUAUGGUAGUCAGUCCUUGGUAGGGUAGACUGAGUACAGUUGAUGCACCCGAAAUAACUUAUGUGCGCAGCAAAAAAUCCUGAGACGUGAAUUUUAGUUUGGACAUGCCUACUAACAUCCUCUAUGAUCCAGGGAAAUUUGUGCACCUAACCCAUCUCUCGUAGGAAGAUAUCGGCGAAAGUUUUUUCACCAAGGGAAGAUCUUGAUUUUAUCAUGUCCCUUCUACAAUUAAUAUGUUAUUAACCAUACGUGAUCAACAAACGCAACUUACAUCAUUGCAAACGUUAUUCUGUGCACUAUACAUCUACAUAUGCAAUGCUAUCAUGUCAUGCAAGGUCGUUGCAUAAUCUAGCGAAAAGCGGAGUGGAGGGUAUAUAUGCUUGCUUGAGCCCAGCAUGAAGUAGAUGUACUGAACUUGAACAUAGCUGAGCACUGUUAUAGCUGGUGCUGUUCCAUGGCAGAUGGAUAUGAUACGAAGACUCUUGUGACAUGGACAAUGUGUGUGGAUGUGUUGAUGUUUUCUAAUAAUAAACAUUGAGAAACACAAAUUCAGUGUCAAAUUUAAAUAAUUUAUUUUAAUAACAUAAAACCCCAGGAAUAACGCCCGUUAUUUCGUAAGUGACAGUAAUAAUAACAGUAAAUCUUCGUCCGAAGACAUUGCUAGUGAAAGAGGCUUUGUAUUCUUCUUACUUUCAGCAGCAUUUAUCAUCUUCUUACCUGCAGCAGCGCUAGUAGCAGACACGUCAGCACACGUUUGUCGCGCACCAGUGUCGCUGUUACAUGCUCCUCAUGCGUGAGUCCCACGCUAGUAGUCAUGCGUCAGUCCUACGCUAUUCUUUCGUUAAGUCACACGCCAGAUGUGUCCACAUCGCCCUAGAACGCUCGAAAUUGAACGAUUAGAAAGUUCAGAGAACGUUGACCAGAACGUCAUGGUGUGACAGGGCCUUUAGGAAUGAUUACACAAUACAGACCUCAGUGUAGUUAGUGCUCCCCUAUCUCCACCUAACACACAUAGCCUUGGCAUUUUACAUAAGGGUGGAUGACAGGCGACUGAUUUUAUCGUAAUCAAGCAAACAAAAUUAUAAAAUCAUUACUAAUUCAAAAUAGAAUGUUUUAGGUCACUGUUUUGAUGCGUUUAGUUUAGUAUUUAUUUUAAGGCAAACAUGCAAGUCCUGUCAUGUGACUGUAGUAUAAAUGAAGUAGUAGACGUGGACAAAAUUGUUGGUACCCUUCUGUUAAAGGAAGAAAAAGCCACAAUGGUCACUGAAAUAAUUUGAAACUGACAAAAGUAAUAAUAAAUAAAAAAAAUACUGAAAAUUAACUAAUGAAAAUCACAUUGCUUUUGAAUUGUGGUUCAACAGAAUAAUAAUUAAAAAAAACGAAUUAAACUGGCCUGGACAAAUUAUGGUACCCCUAGAAAAGAUUUAAAAUAAUUUGACCAUAGAGACAUGUUAAACUAAGGUGUGUCCUCUAAUUAGCAUUACAGGCUUCUUCAAACUUGUAAUCAGUCAGUCUGCCUAUUUAAAGGGUGAAAAGUAGUCACUGUGGUGUUUGGUAUCAUGGUGUGUACCACACUGAACAUGGACCACAGAAAGCAAAGGACAGAGUUGUCUCAGGAGAUUAGAAAGAAAAUUAUAGACAAGCAUGUUAACGGUAAAAUCUAUAAGACCAUAUCCAAGCAGCUUGAUAUUCCUGUGACAACAGUUGCACAUAUUAUUCAGAAGUUUAAGGUCCAGGGGACUGUAGCCAACCUCCCUGGACGUGGCUGCAAGAGGAAAAUUGAUGACAAAUUGA
ensembl:lncRNA